GCAUUGGUGGUUCAGUGGUAGAAUUCUCGCCUGCCACGCGGGAGGCCCGGGUUCGGCCAAUGCA